GAUGCACGCUAGCUACAGGCUUAACCACAUGCAAGUCGAGGGGGCAGCAUGAAAGGAACUUCGGUUCUUUUUGAUGGCGACCGGCGCACGGGUGCGUAACGCGUAUCGAACCUGCCUCAUACUCGGGGAUAGCCUUGCGAAAGUAAGAUUAAUACCCGGCGGUCUCGGAUGGCCGCAUGACUAUCCGAGUGAAGAUUUAUCGGUAUGAGAUGGCGAUGCGUCCCAUUAGCUAGUUGGUGAGGUAACGGCUCACCAAGGCAUCGAUGGGUAGGGGUUCUGAGAGGAAGGUCCCCCACAUUGGAACUGAGACACGGUCCAAACUCCUACGGGAGGCAGCAGUGAGGAAUAUUGGUCAAUGGACGCAAGUCUGAACCAGCCAAGUAGCGUGCAGGAAGACGGCCCUCUGGGUUGUAAACUGCUUUUAGUUGGGAAUAAAAAGAGGGACGUGUCCCUUAUUGUAUGUACCAUCAGAAAAAGGACCGGCUAAUUCCGUGCCAGCAGCCGCGGUAAUACGGAAGGUCCAGGCGUUAUCCGGAUUUAUUGGGUUUAAAGGGAGCGCAGGCGGCGGCGUAAGUCAGUUGUGAAAUCGUGCGGCUUAACCGUGCAAUUGCAGUUGAUACUGCGUCGCUUGAGUGCACACAGGGAUGUUGGAAUUCAUGGUGUAGCGGUGAAAUGCUUAGAUAUCAUGAAGAACUCCGAUCGCGAAGGCAUAUGUCCGGAGUGCAACUGACGCUGAGGCUCGAAAGUGUAGGUAUCAAACAGG
rnacentral:rRNA from 1 species